UUGGACUGGAGCAGCGAUGCUCCCAGGGCCCGAGAGCAGUUUCGGGGAGAGGGGACGUGUCUCGAGGCUUCAGAACGCCGCACGCUGAAGUGGAGAAGUGCGCGGCCCUCUUUCCCACCCGGCUGCGGCUUCCGCCAUUUCUAGACACGGCGUAGCUUGUCAUGAGCCCAGUGUCUUGACAGUCGCUGGUCCCUCUACCUGGAAAGUUGGCCUACCGCCCCCAAGCUUCCGAAGAGCUGCUGGUCGUCCAGAUGAGACACUGCCCUUGUUGAGGCACCCGCGCCGUCGGAGAGCUCUCAUCGCCCCGUUUCAACAGCGGCCUCCAUCACCUAACCAGUUUUCCCCCAGGCUGCUCCUAAAGCUGAGACUUCCCAGGACUAAUGUUUAACCCUGUUCUGUUCCACCGCUUUCAGUGGUCUGAUCCGGGCUUGUGGCUUUCAGUACCGUUCUACACUGGACCAAUCUCAAGUAUUUGUCUGCAGCUUUGAUCCGUCUGUGAACUCCAUUUUCAUGCAAACAGAAAGGGCAGGCCAGAAGAAGACUGAGUCUGCCACGAGAGCUGAGAUCUAGUAAUUUCACAUGGUGCUUGCAAGAACUGGCCGCCGGUGGUAUCAUGGCGACCCGGAACCCCCCCUCCCCAAGACUAUGAAAGUGAUGACGA